GUCUCCGCAACAUGGCGCCUGAAUUCACUGAAGCCUCACGUUCUAUCUCCGCACCUGCCUUUGGCCGGGACUGUGCUGACACGGCAUGCCGUGACGUAGAGGAGUCGCGGGAGUAAAUCUGGAUGAGGCGUUUCGGGCAGGUCUGGAGCAGCGUUCUCUGUUCGAUUAGUAAAUAAAUCCUUUUUGGGGAGACCGUGAGCUUUGCGACUUUGCAGAUCUUCUACAGGCACAAACGGAUAUGUUACACACCCAAACAAAAGGAACACCUGAAAAAUCAUGAAACGACUCCUUUGAAUAUGAACACGGACGGCGUUCCGAGAUAUGAGCUUGACGUUCCCGUUUUUUUUUUUUUUCCCUCACAUUUCAUUUUUUAAUUCUAGUUCUACAGGAAAGAAAAAAAUGCAUUUUAUCAUAAACGAUGCUUUUAAAAGAUGUCAAGUAUUUUAAAGGAAAGAACAUUUUUUUGUUUUUUUUGGUUUUUUUAAAAAAUUUUUUUUUGCUUGUUUGUGUUCAAUGGUGACUUAAUAGAUUUUUCCCCCUACUGGUAGCAUUAACUCUCACCUCGGAUACAGAUACGUACACUGACUGGUGAUUUGACCUCGAUGACUAUAUUUAGCUGGUGUGAUGGUCUCGUACGUGUUUCUGGUUUCGAAUCAGCUUUUUUUUUUCUUUUUUUUUUUUUAAAUCUGAUUUUCCCACCGUGCGCUCAGUGGUGCAGGUUAUUAUUAUUAUUAUUAUUUUAAUUGCGUAAAUAUCAUGCGUAGAUCUGUUCUCUGAAGUGGUCUUAUGUAUUUCAAGUUCAGUGGUUUGACACACUCCACGUCUGUGCUGUUUCUAAUUAGGGAUGCAUCGAUAACGCCCCAUACGCACCGAGUACGAGGACAUUAUUAUAUUUGGUACUCGUCGAUAGUGAUACUGACAGAAAUGAGUACUAAUAAUAAGUAUUAAUCAGACAGGGACGUCGUGGAGCGUUUCUUUAGCAGGACAUCGUACACCCGGGUCACCCGAUGUCAGACGUUGAUAUCGGAUUUUUUUUAUUUAAAUUUUUUUUUUUUUUUUUUUUUUUUUUUUACAGCCAAUCGAUGCAUCCCUAUUUUCACUUUUCACCUCUCAGAAUAAACCUCCCCGCCUCAAGACGUGACCGCUCUGUUACAGCCGGUCUGAACAGACUCCGUACAAUCUCAUUCCUUUUCUGCGACAUGACCAAAAAAAAAAAAAUUUUCUUUCCAGACAAGCAAAUGCAGUACGUAAGUCAUUCCGCUCAUUUAAACAGUAGGCGUUUAUCACCCAAGCAAUAUCCUUCCACGGAGAAUUACCGGAACGGUGUACGACCUCAGCGCUAUGUUCUAUGCAGUAAGUGCAAACGUCUUAACUCUGGCAGCCGUGAGCUCGUUUACUCAACAAAGGAACUGGACGGAUUUCUUUUCUGUCGUCGUUUUAACGACUCGCCCCGGUCGCAUUUUAGUUCCCCAACCAUCAUAGAGAAACUCCUUAAAGGGGAACUUAACGGUUUAAAAAAAAAAAAAAAAAUUCUUGUAAAACCCCGUUCACUGUAUCUGUACCAUGUGAUUUACUGCAGAAACGUGUCCCGGAACUGAAAACCUAUUCACGGCUUUCAAUGGAAGUCUAAAGGCAGACGCUGAACCGAAUUUAAAAGCAAACGAUUACGCCAUUUCUAAAACGCAAAAUCGCUCCCCUUGCCGUUACACAUGAACCGUAAAGCUGUUCCAGACACGAGACUGACAUCUCACACACACACACACACACACAAAAAAAAAUCUGCAUUUCUGUAUCAAAGCUUUCUAUAUUUCCCAACUUCCUGCCGUGUGAGUAACGCAGUUUCAAAAGUAGUUCCGGUUACUUUACAGCUCCCUGAAUCCGUACGCCAUGAGUGCCUCACGACGUUUUUUGCACAUAAGCACAAAUUCUUCCAUCUGAGAAAGCAGUCCCGUCUCUGAAAGGAUCGGUUCUGUAUGUUUUCGAGUUUUAUUUCCUGACCAAUCCGACAUCUGCCCAUAGACUUCCAUUUUAAGUGAGUUUGGAUUAAAACUGUUUUUUUUUUUUGUUUUUUGUAGUUUUCGGUGAGCAGAAAUGUACUGAAAUUCGGUACAAUAUAUAAGUAUGUAUGCGCUACAGGUGCAAUGGAUGGACAUUUUGGUUAUUUUUUUUUUUUAAACAACGAAAUAAGUUUCCCUUUAAUUCUGUUGCAUUAAUGGAAUAAUUGAGAUGGUAGCUUUUUUUCUGUGAGCAGUCAGAUUAUGUUGCUAAAACGAAAAAACUUCACAAAAGUUGAAGCGUGUCAUGUUGCUCGGUUACUGUACAUCGCGUGCGUGUGUGUGUGUGUGUGUGUGUGUGUGUGUGUGUGUUAUUCGUCACCCUCACUUCUCCGUGUCAUCUCAAACGCACUGCCUUACUGACCCCCGGCUAAAGGAGGUCAGAUUGUGUGUAAUGAAUCGCUUCAAUCCUGUGCACUGUAACUAAGGGGAAAAAAAUUGACGUUUUGUUCGUGCCUUUCCUGUAUCUCUGUGUGUGUGAGUGUGUGAGUGAGUGAGAGAGAGAGAGCGAGAGAUCCAUCGUGCUAUACACAUGCAGUCGUCAUUUUGCUUCGACCAUUAAGGGCUGAUUUAUACGUCAUUAGAAAUAUAUGUAUAUAUAUGUAUAUGUGUGUGUAUAUAUAAGCGUGGUAUAAAUGUGAGCACUAGAGGGCAGUGUGGAGAAUACGUGAAUGAAACGUAACGAAAAGGAAAGUCUGGCGUUUUACUGUUGUAGGACGUAAAGAUUUCCGGUUAUAGCCUUCUAAAGAAAAUACGUAUGAUGCCGGUUAUGUCAUUUGAAUCAAAGCGGUCCAGGUUUAAACAGAGUUCUCGAACGUGAGCUCGAGAUGAUAACGAGAUUUUUUUCAGUCCGUUAGCAUGUUUUCGUUUAAGUGUCGUCAUCGGCGCUACCGUGUCCGGCGUCCUCCUAUCAGUGGAUUUUAGACGAGCGUCGUAGGAGCGCUCGGAUGCCGAGACCUUUAAUGAGAAGUGUUUCACACUGCCAGGACUUUUGUUUCCAUUGUAAGAAUGUCAAUCUCGACUCCAAAGAGUUCUCGUUUAAAAAAAUAAAUAACUAAUAUUUUUCAUGUGACUGAUUCGUACAGAUUCGUAGAGUGUAAAAACGGACGCCAGUCGCACCUUUUUUCUACUCGAUCUGGUUCCUGUUCAGUCACAUAAGCACGACGCGUCUAUUUCGAGAUCUGCACGUCUGCUACCCAUAAUCCCCACCGUUUACGUCACGACGUAAACAUGCUUACGUUAAUCUUCACUGAAGUACAAAUCAGCCCUUGAUCCCAUUCCGGCACGGCUUCACGGUUCACUCUCGUGCUCUCGUCUCUUCAUCUUCACGGUGUGAUCUCUCUCUCGUGCAAGUGUUGUGCAAACACAGCGCCCCCUGUAGAUGACUCGCAAUAGUGCUCGCUGGCUAUUUUUAAUGAAAAGUACAUGUAAAAAAAAAAUAUAUAUAUAUUAUAUAAAUAAAUAUAUAAAUCGACUCAUCACCACCUACAUCAUCAAAUGAAAGAUGCACUUAUUCUAGUCCACACUUGGUUACGUAGUAACCUUGUCUAAUAUUGAAUUAUAUGCGAAACCGUGUUAAAACAAUCAAUAUUUGUGUGUGUGUGUGUGUGUGUGUGUGUGUGUGUGUGUGUAGAUAAAAGAUGAGCUUUCUAUAAUAUCGAGCUUGCCUUAAGAUUUGUCGUGGAACGAAUGAUGCGUACGUGAGGCUCGGAGUCGCCCUCGCAGCCAGGCCUGCGGGUCGACCGUCCCGCGUAAAGGAGGUAAAAUCGUACGGCGUUUUUACUUUCACGUCAAGUUCCGAUGUCAAUGGAAAGAGACGUGCACUGCUGACAUGGGCCUUUGACGAGCAUUUACCUCAGAAACCUUGCCGUGGCUGGCGUUAGGAAAUAAACCGUGUUGCAGGAAACGUGCCUGUAAUCACGGCGCGCGAGUCGCGAAGGGCGUGGCACUGACGACUUGCAUCAGGUGACCAUUUCGGGCUCUGGAUGGACGGACAAAAGGAUGGACGCGCAAAUCUUUUCUCAGUCGUACUAUCACGUUAAAUUUUUCUGACUUCGUUUUUGAGACGCUUUACCACCCGGGAAAGAUUGAGAUUGAAUUUCUUUUCUUUUUGUUCUCUUUUUUUUUUCCUCUGUAGAAGUGAAACUAAAACGAAGCGAGUGAGAAAAUUCUAAUUUUUUUUAUUAUUAUUAUUAUUUUUUUAUAAACGAUUAAUUAUGUACUUUUAAAUUGUUGGCACUAAGUGACACUGCUAUUUUUUCCCCCCCAUUUUCUUCUUUUUUUUAAAUUUUUUUUUUUUUUUUUUUUUUAACGUGACCACUUAACCGGUUUUAAAAGAAACAAGCGUCUUUCUUUAAUGCAUAAGAGGAACCUGCAAAAUAUAUGCAAUGAUGUGUAUGUAAUAUUCAAUCCUCAAGUAUAAUCCAGGUUAUAUGGACUUUGUAUAGUGAAUUUUAAUAUCGUUAUGGCCGUACCAAUAUGUAUUAAUUCUUCUCAGAAGCCUUAGAAGUCGUCUACCCAAAGUGCUCCCUUAGAACACCCUACACCUACCUGAACUUUACGAAGCAUUAAUAACUAUAUUUUGUUGCAGUUUUUUUUUUAUUUUUUUUUAUUUGUACCCUUUUUUUUUUUUGGAAUAAAAUAGAUUUGUACUGUAUAUUUGUACCUCUCUGUGAACUACUUAGGGCAGUUUUUUUGUUUUUCGUUUCGCUGUCUUAAUUCUAUGUACGGACACAAAGAUAUUGUAUUUUUAUUGUUACAGCUAACUUCUUGGAAACAUUGCAUUUAUCAUGUUUGUUAAGUAAACACAAUAUAAUAUAUAUAAUAUUACCAAACUGGCCCGGCUCCUUUUCUGGAUUGGUCUCAAGUUUCAGUUGCAAAUCUUACAUUAAGAAUUAUUUUCUGUAUCGUUAGGGGGCCAAGCACCAAAGGUGCUAUUGUUAUCCGACCACCUUCUUCUUUUUCUGGCUAGCCCAUAGAAUCGUCUUGUAAAAAGUUGUGAAAUUUGGCACACUGAGUCGGGAGGGUCUAAGAUACAUUCUCAACAAAUUUGGGCCAAGUGCUGGAAAUGCUCUAGCGCCAUUUUGUGGUCAGAUUUGGGCCUAACUUUUGAAUUGUGUGUCCAAAAGCCAGUUUCUUUUUUUUCACUACUCCUCCUACAAAUUUUGUACAAUCAUCACCAAAUUUGGCACACAUCAUCUUCAGAGUAAGCCUCACAGAAUUUAUCAAAAGAAUUUUGAAUACUCCAAACGGUUUGUCUGUAAUGAGCCAACAAAUCUGACAAAUGAAGCCACCAAACAGGAGGUGAGGUUGUAUCUCGACUUUGCAACUGAGGCUAUGCAACAAAAAUUUUGUAACCGCACCACCUACUGGUCAAAAGUUGCAAUCACAUGCUUGCUCCUCCAAA
ensembl:lncRNA